UCUUAAACAUGCAAGUCAAGCGGAGUAGCAAUACUCAGCGGCGAACGGGUGAGUAACACGUGGGUAAUCUUCCUUCGAGUCUGGGAUAACUUUCCGAAAGGGAAGCUAAUACUGGAUAGUCCCGAGAGAUCAUAAGAUUUUUCGGGUAAAGAUUCAUUGCUCGGAGAUGAGCCCGCGUCCGAUUAGCUAGUUGGUAAGGUAAAGGCUUACCAAGGCGACGAUCGGUAGCCGGCCUGAGAGGGUGUUCGGCCACAAUGGAACUGAGACACGGUCCAUACUCCUACGGGAGGCAGCAGUUAAGAAUCUUGCUCAAU
rnacentral:rRNA from 1 species